rnacentral:rRNA from 1 species
GUGGGGAAUAUUGGACAAUGGGCGCAAGCCUGAUCCAGCCAUGCCGCGUGAGUGAUGAAGGCCUUAGGGUUGUAAAGCUCUUUCAGUGGGGACGAUAAUGACGGUACCCACAGAAGAAGCCCCGGCUAACUUCGUGCCAGCAGCCGCGGUAAUACGAAGGGGGCUAGCGUUGUUCGGAUUUACUGGGCGUAAAGCGCACGUAGGCGGAUCGUUAAGUCGGGGGUGAAAUCCUGGAGCUCAACUCCAGAACUGCCUUCGAUACUGGCGAUCUUGAUGCCGGAAGAGGUGAGUGGAACUCCUAGUGUAGAGGUGGAAUUCGUAGAUAUUAGGAAGAACACCAGUGGCGAAGGCGGCUCACUGGUCCGGUACUGACGCUGAGGUGCGAAAGCGUGGGGAGCAAACAGGAUUAGAAACCCGGGUAGUCC